rnacentral:rRNA from 1 species
AUUGAACGCUGACGGCAGGCCUAACACAUGCAAGUCGAGCGGAUGAAGGGAGCUUGCUCCCGGAUUCAGCGGCGGACGGGUGAGUAAUGCCUAGGAAUCUGCCUGGUAGUGGGGGAUAACGUCCGGAAACGGGCGCUAAUACCGCAUACGUCCUGAGGGAGAAAGUGGGGGAUCUUCGGACCUCACGCUAUCAGAUGAGCCUAGGUCGGAUUAGCUAGUUGGUGGGGUAAAGGCCUACCAAGGCGACGAUCCGUAACUGGUCUGAGAGGAUGAUCAGUCACACUGGAACUGAGACACGGUCCAGACUCCUACGGGAGGCAGCAGUGGGGAAUAUUGGACAAUGGGCGAAAGCCUGAUCCAGCCAUGCCGCGUGUGUGAAGAAGGUCUUCGGAUUGUAAAGCACUUUAAGUUGGGAGGAAGGGCAGUAAGUUAAUACCUUGCUGUUUUGACGUUACCAACAGAAUAAGCACCGGCUAACUUCGUG